rnacentral:lncRNA from 1 species
CCGCCCGCGUGUUCCCGGCGCACCCGGCUCUCGCUCUGGCUUCCCGCUUCUGCGAGGUCUGCACACCUCGUGGCCAAGUAAGUCCCGACGACGGGGGCGGGUCGCUCGGGCCACAAGUUUUCUGGAUUACCGGGCGCUGCAAGGGAGGAGGCGCAGGGAGGCGGCAUCCUGCGAGCGGGCGGCAUUCAAAGCUGCCCUGGAUGAGCUCCAGGUGGAGCAAGGCAGAAAUACCCGGGAGGUUGCGGAAUACCACCAAAGUUCAGAGGGAUGAACUUCGGCGUCAGGGAAAUGGUCCGGAUUCCAGAAAGAAAUUGGAAAUUGACAAUAGUAGGAGAGACUGUCAUUUUAACAUACUCUCACUUGCUUCAAAGAACACCUACCCGAAUCUUUGAAAGGUAUUUCUAACCACUAAUGUAAAUAUACAUUUAACGUUAUCAACUGGCAUCCCUUCAGGGAACUAAUUUUCUAAAGCUG